rnacentral:rRNA from 1 species
GCCAGACUCCUACGGGAGGCAGCAGUGGGGAAUAUUGCACAAUGGGGGAGACCCUGAUGCAGCGACGCCGCGUGAGUGAAGAAGUAUUUCGGUAUGUAAAGCUCUAUCAGCAGGGAAGAAAAUGACGGUACCUGACUAAGAAGCCCCGGCUAACUACGUGCCAGCAGCCGCGGUAAUACGUAGGGGGCAAGCGUUAUCCGGAUUUACUGGGUGUAAAGGGAGCGUAGACGGUGAUGCAAGUCAGAAGUGAAAGCCCGGGGCUCAACUCCGGGACUGCUUUUGAAACUGUGUAACUGGAGUGCAGGAGAGGUAAGCGGAAUUCCUGGUGUAGCGGUGAAAUGCGUAGAUAUCAGGAGGAACACCAGUGGCGAAGGCGGCUUACUGGACUGUAACUGACGUUGAGGCUCGAAAGCGUGGGGAGCAAACAGGAUUAGAUACCCCUGUAU